UGGGGAAUAUUGGACAAUGGGCGAAAGCCUGAUCCAGCCAUGCCGCGUGUGUGAAGAAGGUCUUCGGAUUGUAAAGCACUUUAAGUUGGGAGGAAGGGCAUUAACCUAAUACGUUAGUGUUUUGACGUUACCGACAGAAUAAGCACCGGCUAACUCUGUGCCAGCAGCCGCGGUAAUACAGAGGGUGCAAGCGUUAAUCGGAAUUACUGGGCGUAAAGCGCGCGUAGGUGGUUUGUUAAGUUGGAUGUGAAAGCCCCGGUCUCAACCUGGGAACUGCAUCCAAAACUGGCAAGCUAGAGUACGGUAGAGGGUGGUGGAAUUUCCUGUGUAGCGGUGAAAUGCGUAGAUAUAGGAAGGAACACCAGUGGCGAAGGCGACCACCUGGACUGAUACUGACACUGAGGUGCGAAAGCGUGGGGAGCAAACA
rnacentral:rRNA from 1 species